rnacentral:rRNA from 1 species
UAAUCACUUGUCUUUUAAAUGAAGACCUGUAUGAAUGGCAUAACGAGGGUUUAACUGUCUCCUACCCCCAGUCAAUGAAAUUGAUCUGCCCGUGCAGAAGCGGACAUAAAAACAUAAGACGAGAAGACCCUAUGGAGCUUUAGGCUAAAGAUCACGCAUGUUAAGAAACUUCAACAAACAAAAAGUUACACAAACCAAAUGUAAAUUGAUCCUAAUGCCUUCGGUUGGGGCGACCACGGGGAAAAAAGAAACCCCCACAUGGAAUGGAAACAUCUCCCUAAACUUAGAGAAACCCCUCCAAGUAACAGAACAUCUGACCAAAAAUGACCCAGGGCCAAAAACACCCUGAUCAAUGAACCAAGUUACCCUAGGGAUAACAGCGCAAUCCUUUCCCAGAGCCCA